CACCAAGGGCCCUUCAAAACACACAAGCUUCUUGCUCACGGCAUAAAGCCCAAUUCCCUCUGGCCCCUGCAGGUUGGCUCAGCACUGGGGAAUCAGUGUCCCCUCCAUGACCAAGGCACCACUCCACUGACAGGGUUUCUGGAGGUGAAUAAAGUCAGAAAGGGCAUUCAAAAGGCUGUGAACACCUCCACCUUAUAUAGGUCUUCUUACUGGAGCUGGCAGCCAAUGAGGGUAAUGAUACAAAAAAGGUAACAAUCCAUUUCUUUCUUCCCUGCCAUCCCCAACUUAGACUCUGUUAAUCAGCAUGCUUGGCUGGCCUCCAAUCACAGGUCCAGGAGCUGAGACAAGGGUCCUUUUGAGCUUCUAUGUGGGAGGCUCUGGAAAGCUUAGCAACAUUUUCCAACAACUUUGCCAGGUAAGUCUUCUUGUCCCCAUUUCCAGAGAAGACAACUGAAGCCCAAAGAAAGACUUGCCAAAGCCAUGAUUGACUAGUUGAUGGCCAAGACAGCAUUAGAACACAAGUUUGUCUGAUUCUUUCAUGGCAUAUCUGGUGACCAUGACUGCUGCUUUUGCUGCUGGUUGGCUUAGGCUGAAUUGGGUAGGUAGAAAAGGAAGUGAGGGGGUGAAAGAGCUUUAGUUUUGAGAUUACUGCCAGAACUUAAAUUGAAGGGGUAUGUUACACCCUUACAUUCAAUUAAAAGAAAUGAGCAAGAAAAAAUACAGUGUUUUCUUGCUGAAAGACAAGGCUGAAUCCCUCUGUCUUGCCUUGGCUGGGACAAGGCUUUCCGGCUUCAUGGGGACAGUUUACCAUUUCUGGUAACCUUGGGAAGUUUGCAACUUUUCAUGACAAUAUUUAAUGUAGACCAGCUACCUGCUCACAGAUCAACUGCCAUAGCUGGUAAGGGCAGUAAUUUGAUACCAGCAGCCUGGCAUUUUUAGCAACAGGAUCUGAUUGUUGCCAAGGGAAUUCUCCCAGAAGUCUCAGACCUGACCCUGCUCCUGGCAGCUUCCUUAUUGCCCUGGUGGCUUGUGGGUUCACUGAUCCCAAAUGCUGCAUUGCAAAGCUAUUGCCUGUUUUUGCCCUCUUUGUUGAUGUGUCUCGCCUUUCCUAGAGGGAUAUACAGAGAAGGGAGGCAAAAUAACCAAUGAGGAAAGCUGUAUAAGGCAUACUGCUGAACUGUAAAAAACUUAUUGCGUAAACUUUACAAGUCUCCUCCCCAACAUGAACCUUUGUUCUCUCAUUUAUAACCUAAGUGAGUGAGACUAGAUGAUCUUUAAGGGCACUUUAAUAGCUGCCAUUCUUGAGUCCCUAUGGGACAAGAGGAUCAAGUUAGGCAAGGCUGAGACUACAAGAAAUCAAUGUCACACCUGUCCAGAUCCUGCUAAAUCAAUUGCCAAUAGCUCUUUCUUUCAUUUCAGUGGUACAACCACUGCUUUUUGAGCAUUUUUUAUGUAUUGAAUACUGAACCAAAGGCUUUACAUGCAUUAUCUCCUGUCAUUCUCACAAUAAUCUUAUGAGGUAGGUACUAUACUUAAUACAUUUUGUGGGUGUAGCAAACUUGAACUCACAGAGGUGAAAUGAUUGAUCGAAGGUUGCCUAGCUAGCUAAUGGAAGAACUAGGAUUUAAGCUCACGUUUAACCUCAAAGCCUAUGUGCAUAACCACAACACUGUGAAAACACAGCUUGGGAGAAUUGAGAAGAGUGAGCAAGGAUGCUGUCUCUGGGGUCUGGUACUUUCCUCAAGUCAGGGAGGCAGGAUGAUGACCAAAUUUUCCCCUCUUUGCUGCAUAGAGGAACCCACUGAAGCUUGGGACCCCUAGAAAUGCCAUAGCUAUAGGAUUCAGGCCUGAUGAGCUUCCAGCUGAGCACCGGGUGUCACUUGGGCUUUACCUGCUUAUCCUCAGGAUCUCUCUUCUGGUUAGGAACCUUAUGCCUGUUUUGCUCACUUUCGUAUUCUGGUGCUUUGUCUGGUUCUUUCAGCAAGCUCCCUGGGGCUAAGGGUGUGACUUCAUCACUCCUUUCUCUCUCUUUCCCUCUAGGGUCAUAUCUCCCAGGAAGAUCUCACUUCCCCACAGAAUCUCCUGGCCCGGCCUCCUGCAGUGCCACGCUCCGUGUAUUUGACAAGCUGAGUUGGACACUCCGUGUGGUAGAGUGUCAGUUUGUCAAAUACCCCAAGUGCGGCAUAUGCUUACCAGCUCCAGGCCAGGGCAGAUGGCAUAUGACGAAUGGACUGCCAGCUGGAUACAAGGAUGCUCACCAAGCACCAAGUUCUCACAAGUUAUUUUAUGUGACUCUGCAGGAACUGAGGCAUUUUUUUCUGAGGACACCAGAGAAAAAGUGUAGCAUCUCUGGGAAAUACAGCCCUGGACUGAGUCUACACACACCAUGAGAGUGCUGAUGGUGGUGCAAUAGGCUUGAAAAUGUAUAAUGGGUUCAAGAAUGGAAGUGCCCUUUGAUUCUUUAUUAUUUUCUUCCUUCACAUUCCCCUCCCAGAGUCUCCCAUGUAGGACAUCAGAAUUCUCACACAAGCAUCACGGUUUAUGUGAGUAAGCAGGGGUUAGAAAUUCACUUUCUUGACACUCAGUCUUGCCUUCUAAAUACUCCUUGAUCUUGCCUACCUCUUCCCUUUUCCACAAGUCUUUUCCUCUAGGAACCCUUUCUCCGUUUAUUUCUGCCUAUCCAGUUCUUCCCUAUAUUUCCUGUAUCAGCUAAAGUCCAGUGUUUCCAAAGACUUUUGAAAGUCAACUUAUACUUUUUCCUUCUUCAUUCACAAAGCACUUCUUGCCUGGGCCCUGGUAUGUGCCCCUUUCUCUCCUACUGUCUAACAGCAGUAGGAGAGAAUUGCCCUCUUGAAUUGUCAGUGACAACUGACAACUCUUGAAUUGUCAGUGAACUUUUCUAGGGGGUUUUCUUGAAUUCCCAACUAGAUUGUGAGCUUCUAGAAGACAAGGCUAUGUCUUUGAUUGCUGUCAUCCCUACCAAAACCCAGUACUUUAGUUACAGAAAAUAAUAAACAUUUACCGAUUGACUGGCUUUCCUCUAGUCCACUAGCUUUGGGUUUAGGCUUUGGGGCCAAAUUGUACUCUGGAUUUUGAAAAAAAAUCAAACUGUGAACACCGCAAUGUUAUAGAGCAUAUGAGGUAGUAGCCAGCAUGAAGGAUUUUUUUAUUCCUGAGAAACAGUGUCAAGUGCUGGAGGAAGAAGGCAAAAUAGCAGACUCAGAGAGCAAAUAAAUUUUGGUAUUACUUGAUUACACAGAGUUAUACAGGUGCUUUCUUGUAGGAUUUUUCAGAGCCUUUAAUAGUCUAACGUUGCAUUGAGAAACUCAAAGAGGAAACUAUAGAAUGAGGCCUUUGCCACACCUAUCUGAUCAUGAAUUUCUUUUCUCCCACAGGCCUUCUCCUGUGUCAAUGUCCAAUGAAGCAUGAUUUGGGAAACUGUCAUAGAGAAACUUUAUACCUUCCCUAUCUUCUGGAGAUCUUUUCCUCUUUUCACUCAUCUACUUUCCCCAACCAGCCAUCUGCCUAAGAAAGGUCCCCACCUGAUUUUUGUUUAGCCUAUCCUGCAGCUGUGGACUAUCUCUAUUACAUAGGAAUUCUUUACUAGCUUGUCCUGUAUUUAAAAAAAUUCUCAGUUUUGAAGCAAAGGUGAUCCAGAUGCUGCAAUAAAUACAUGCACUGAGGAGUUCACAGGC